GACGAACGCUGGCGGCGUGCCUAAUACAUGCAAGUAGAACGCUGAAGCUUGGUGCUUGCACCGAGCGGAUGAGUUGCGAACGGGUGAGUAACGCGUAGGUAACCUGCCUGGUAGCGGGGGAUAACUAUUGGAAACGAUAGCUAAUACCGCAUGAUAUUGAUUAUUGCAUGAUAGUCAAUUAAAAGGUGCAAUUGCAUCACUACCAGAUGGACCUGCGUUGUAUUAGCUAGUUGGUGAGGUAACGGCUCACCAAGGCAACGAUACAUAGCCGACCUGAGAGGGUGAUCGGCCACACUGGGACUGAGACACGGCCCAGACUCCUACGGGAGGCAGCAGUAGGGAAUCUUCGGCAAUGGACGGAAGUCUGACCGAGCAACGCCGCGUGAGUGAAGAAGGUUUUCGGAUCGUAGAGCUCUGUUGUAAGAGAAGAACGAGUGUGAGAGUGGAAAGUUCACACUGUGA
rnacentral:rRNA from 1 species